CCUACGGGAGGCAGCAGUAGGGGAAUAUUGGUCAUGGACGGAAGUCUGAACCAGCCAUUCCGCGUGCAGGAAGAAGGUCCUAUGGACUGUAAACUGCUUUUAGCAGAGAAGAAACGCCUUCAUUUAUGAGGGUCUGACGGUAUCUGCGGAAUAAGCACCGGCUAACUCCGUGCCAGCAGCCGCGGUAAUACGGGGGGUGCAAGCGUUAUCCGGAAUCACUGGGUUUAAAGGGUGCGUAGGCGGGACAUUAAGUCAGUGGUGAAAGUCUGUUGCUUAACGAUAGAAUUGCCGUUGAUACUGAUGUUCUUGAAUUGGGUUGAGGUUAGCGGAAUGUGACAUGUAGCGGUGAAAUGCAUAGAUAUGUCAUGGAACACCAAUUGCGAAGGCAGCUAGCUGGGCCUUGAUUGACGCUGAGGCACGAAAGCGUGGGGAGCAAACAGGAUUAGAUACCCUGGUAGUCCACGCCCUAAACGAUGCUAACUCGAUGUUUGGCUGAAAAGUUGAGUGACUAAGAGAAAUCGAUAAGUAAGCCACCUGGGGAGUACGACCGCAAGGGUUGAAACUCAAAGGAAUUGACGG
rnacentral:rRNA from 1 species